UUUUGUUAGUGAUGACUUAAAGCAGUUGGGAAUCUCUCUGAAAGAAAAUGAAGAUUAAUUUUAAACUGAAACAGUA